GACGAACGCUGGCGGCGUGCUUAACACAUGCAAGUCGAACGGAAAGACCCUGCUUUUGUGGGGUGCUCGAGUGGCGAACGGGUGAGUAACACGUGAGUAACCUGCCCUUUACUUUGGGAUAACUUCAGGAAACUGGGGCUAAUACCGGAUAGGAGCUCCUGCUGCAUGGUGGGGGUGGGAAAGUUUCGGCGGUUGGGGAUGGACUCGCGGGUUAUCAGCUUGUUGGUGGGGUAGUGGCUUACCAAGGCUUUGACGGGUAGCCGGCCUGAGAGGGUGACCGGCCACAUUGGGACUGAGAUACGGCCCAGACUCCUACGGCAGGCAGCAGUGGGGAAUAUUGCACACUGGGCGGAAGCCUGAUGCAGCAACGCCGCGUGCGGGAUGACGGCCUUCGGGUUGUAACCCGCUUUCGCCUGUGACGAAGCGUGAGUGACGGUAAUGGGUAAAGAAGCACCGGCUAACUACGUG
rnacentral:rRNA from 1 species